CGUGCUGAGAUUUCGUCACACACCAGACCACAAGGGCUGAUGAGACUCCCAA
rnacentral:pre_miRNA from 1 species